UCUUUUUGCCCCCUUCUCCUUGCACGCGUUUUUCUCUACAAUAUCAUCAACUUUACUCAUAACAUUAAACAAAGUAAAUUAAAUUCUUUGACGAAAAGCUGUCCAGAAGUGUCCUUCCUCGCACUUUACUCCCACAACGGCGAUAAUGUCAGAGUUUAAACUGUCCUGCAUUCUGUCAAGGAAUGUGGCAACAAAUGAAGCUCUAGGAUUUGGGGUGCCAAGUAAACUGUCUUUCUUUUCAGGAGUAGAUGUGAUGUAAGAGAACAUGGAGUGAGUAUAAAGACAGGAGAGGUAGAGAAAGUCGGAUGGAGUCGACAACCCUCCUCUACUCAUUAUGGCAAUGAACACUUUCAGGUCUACAUGCUGAUUGGUUGGGCUAUCGAAGGUUAUUGAGUCCGUAGGUGUGUCUCUGAUGACCAUUAACUCUUGGCAUGAUGUACAGCUGAUCAUUUUCUUCAAAGAAAAACCAAUAUACCCGGCAGACAAGUAGUGAUCAUUACUCUCUCCCUUGGAAGAUAGUUCCUGGAGGUCAUCUAGUUGCCAGUUAGUCAAAAUGAGCUCAGCUUUUACCAGGUCUUCAUCCAGCAGACCUUUAAUUUCUGAAGUAGAUCUGUCUCACGCUGAUGUGGUAGAUCCCUCUACUUAGUUGUUUCUACCAGCCGAACCUUCUUUCGAUGGGAUCAGACUGGAACAUGCCGAGGAAUACAUAGGAGAAGUCUUCAUCCAGGAGAAGAUACUCUGCCAGAUCUGCUGCAGCAAGGCACGUCUGCUUUGUUGCUAGGAAGGUUGCUGAGACCAGGUGCUUUAUUGCUUUGCCACCCGAUGAGAAAGUUGACAAAAUCUCUCAAGAAAGAGAGGCCAAGUUUGUUAUUCUCAGAGAUUGGUUUCCGAAGCACAUCUCUCUUUUCGUAGCCAACUCAAGGUGUCUUGACGUUUAGGAUAUUCUACAUAGUCUUGAGCCCACAUUCUCAUGAUGCUUGAAUCACAGUGUUGACCUUGCCUUCUGAGGUGAUGUGUGACACUGCCUUUUUUUCAAUCAACACACCAGAGUUGUACAUUUUGAAUGACAUAUCUGUCUCAAACUUGAUGCUGGCUACUACUUUGGGGCCCAAUUUCUCAUCAUGGGAUAGCUUCAAAAGGGCAACACUUGGUUUUGUGAUAAGGAUAAAGUUUGAUGGGAGUGCCUCCUUGGCCAAUUUGUCAACAAGCUCUUCCACAGAACUCAUUUCAUUGAAAUUUUGAGCCCUACGUGACGUGGUCGCAGCUUGAGUUGGCCUUGAUGAAGCCUUAGGAGUUGAGAGGUAGUUGGUGGAGUUUGGCAUAGGGAUGGUACCACAUCUGGUUUGAGGUACCUAUAAAGGAAGGACAGUUAUAAGCAUACGCAUCAAAAGUGAGCAGCCUUUAGAGCCUUGCCAAGGGUCUGAAUUCUUUUAGACUCACAGAUGAAAUCAGAUUAGUUGAAAUGCAGGGAACACAGCUUCAUACUUUUGGAUGGUGCCUAAUCUGUCUUCUUCAUAUCUGUUUCUCUUGGAAUGGCUCUCAGCUAGGCGGUAUCAAGUCCGGGGUUUCUCUAUUUGUUUGGCCACAGAUGGAUAGUAAUACGAGUCUGUUAUGGCUCGUUGUCAUAGCCCGUUAUACACCCUGGAGCACAACACUUAGAGGCCAUGAAUGGAAUUACAAAAAACAAUAAUGAUGGGUCCACAAAGUAACUAAUAGUGAUUAGUUAUUACUUAUUAUCUUACCAAACACGUUGCAUUGUUUUUUUUUAAUGGACCCAUGUUGCACGCGUAUUUGAAUUCAUGUUUGCACGCGCCCGGUCCUGAUUACAGGAGUCCUUGGCUUUUGCGAGAAGAUUUCGUCCCGUGUAGACUUAAGUUUUUUUCACUGAUGCCACCUCGUAUUGUCUCAAAGCAGGAGAAAAUCUUCGAAAUAAAUUUUAGGAAUUGAUUCACAUUACAUGGGUUGCUCAUGGAUUACAUAGGGUUGCAGAUGUUGUUCAACCAAUUUUUCCCCUAACUAACGAACUUAUUUCCAAUACGAAGAAGAUGUUUUUGAAUUUUGGAAGAAGAAAGAGAGUAUUUACUGCUUCAUACGAAAUCCCCUUCCCUCCAUCACCAAUUAUAACAAGAUAGUGAACUUGGUUAAAAGCGGCGGAGUACUACUACCAUCACUUCGACGUCUUCAGAGAAUAUUUAAAUAGUAUUGAUGAAAAUUUGACAGCAACCAGAUGAGUACUAGAAGUAAUUAAUAAUGAUUCUUUAAGAGAAGAAGUCGUAUUUAUACAGGGAAUUUUUUCUCAAAUAACUGCGCUUGAGGAAAGAUUGCCUCUUCUUACCAGCCUGACCAUAUUAGAAAAUCUGACUCAAUAUUUGAAGGAAGAGCCGUUCAAAACCAAGUUACAAGAAGUGCUUCAAAAGAAUCCUGGCAACACAAAACUAAAGGAACUCUCAAGAAGUGAAAACAUGUAUACAAAAAUCUCUCAAUUGUCAAUUGUGAUACUGAGAGUCUUAGGUAUGAUGAAUAUGAUCAAUACGAAAAGGAUGUCCAAACUAAGUACUAAAAAGUUGAGGGAAUUCUUGAUCACUUAAUGGAAUAAAUGUUUUGUAAACAUUUAAUUGUCAACACACUUCGUGCCCAAGUUAUCUAUUCAUCCUUUAUGGUCACUAAGAAGUAAUGAGUACAUUUCCUGUAAUGAUGGGUUUGAUGUUCUCUAAUUAACUAACAAUAUAUUUUGUCUCGCAUAAAUUUAAAGAAUACAAUAACAUUAUUACGGAAGUUUU
rnacentral:lncRNA from 1 species